UUUAAACUGAAUUAUUAAAAAAUAACCAAAAAACUCUUGGGCAACCGUCUCGAACUCUUAUUUUACCUCUCGAACUCUCAUUUUACCUCGUCGGUCUUCACACAAACUCCUCCAUCGCAUUCACACCAUCGGGCUCCUCAAGAGCGAGAGAAAGGGGAGACACUUGACCCGCGCGUCGUGGUCGACUUUUGGAGUUUUGCCAGAGAUGAAGACGAAGAUGGCUAGAAAGAAGGGCAGCGAUUGCUAGUCGAGAAUACUUUUGAAACAUAUAGUUUUGCCGAAGAUGAAGAUGAAGGUGGCCAGAAAGAAGGGCGUCUAUCGCUAGUCGAGAAUAUUUUCAAAACAUGUUCGCUAGUGUGGCCAACGACGCUGAGUGGCGGCGAUGGUGAGAGAAAAACAUCUAGAAGACGAUCCGAUAUUGCACUACUUUUAAAAAAAAUUACAUUACUUAGAACACGUCUUACACUAAUUUAUUCAACGUAUCAAAUAAUAUAACUUUUGGUUAAAUAACACAACAUAUAUUCAAACUGUCUAUUUAUUUUUAAAUUAGUGCAACAUUAUUUUAUCCGUCAAAUUUUUUUAUCUUUCAACCAUUGCUUUUUUUUUUUUUUUGAGAAAAAGAUAGCACACUAUCUAUUUCAUUCAUUGAAAGUAUGAACUAGGCUAUAUUAGUGAGACAACCUGGACCUUGAGGGAGCGAAAAAAAUAAAAUAAAAUAAAAAUAAAAAGAAAUCAAGAGGUCAGUAUUUGGUUUGUAGGAAAAAAAUUUUCCUACAAAUUGUGGAAAAAAAUUUUACGCGGUUUAGUGUUUGGUUUGUAGGAAAAGAAAAAUAGUUUUCCAUGACAGUUGUUUGGUUGAAAGGAAAAAAAAAGUAGAUAAAAAACUAUUUAAUAUAUUUUUUAUUAUAUAUAUUAUUAUAUAUAUUUUCUCUAAUUAUAUAUAUUAUAUAUUAUUAAU
rnacentral:lncRNA from 1 species